rnacentral:rRNA from 1 species
GACGAACGCUGGCGGCGUGCCUAAUACAUGCAAGUUGAGCGCUGAAGGUUGGUACUUGUACCAACUGGAUGAGCAGCGAACGGGUGAGUAACGCGUGGGGAAUCUGCCUUUGAGCGGGGGACAACAUUUGGAAACGAAUGCUAAUACCGCAUAAAAACUUUAAACACAAGUUUUAAGUUUGAAAGAUGCAAUUGCAUCACUCAAAGAUGAUCCCGCGUUGUAUUAGCUAGUUGGUGAGGUAAAGGCUCACCAAGGCGAUGAUACAUAGCCGACCUGAGAGGGUGAUCGGCGACAGUGGGACGGAGACACGGCCCACAAGCGUACGGGAGGAAGCAGUAGGGAACCUUGGGCAACGGAAGAAAGUAUGACCGGGCAACGCCGGGAGAGCGGAGAAGGUUAUCGGAUCGGAAAAAUCUGUUGGUAGGGGAGAAAGUUGGUGAGCGUGGAAAGAUCAUAAAGUGACGGUAACUACACAAAAAGCGACGGCUAAAUACGUG